UUCUGAAGCACCAAUUCCUGUACGAUCACCGAAGUUAAGCAACGUCGAGUCUAAUCAGUACUUAGAUGGGUGGCCACGUGGGAAUACCAGGCGCAGUAA